rnacentral:rRNA from 1 species
GGCAGCAGUGGGGAAUAUUGGACAAUGGGCGAAAGCCUGAUCCAGCAAUGCCGCGUGAGUGAUGAAGGCCUUAGGGUUGUAAAGCUCUUUUACUAGGGAUGAUAAUGACAGUACCUAGAGAAUAAGCUCCGGCUAACUCCGUGCCAGCAGCCGCGGUAAUACGGAGGGAGCUAGCGUUGUUUGGAAUUACUGGGCGUAAAGCGCGCGUAGGCGGCCAAUCAAGUCAGGGGUGAAAUCCCGGGGCUCAACCCCGGAACUGCCCUUGAAACUGGUAGGCUAGAAUAUUGGAGAGGUAAGUGGAAUUCCGAGUGUAGAGGUGAAAUUUGUAGAUAUUUGGAAGAACACCAGUGGCGAAGGCGACUUACUGGACAAUUAUUGACGCUGAGGUGCGAAAGCGUGGGGAGCAAACAGGAUUAGAUACC